rnacentral:pre_miRNA from 1 species
AUCAUACUCCCUCCGUCCGAAAAUACUUGUCAUCAAAAUGGAUAAAAAAAGAUGUAUCUAGAACUAAAAUACAUCUAGAUACAUCCCCUUUUAUCCAUUUUGAUGACAAGUAUUUCCGGGCGGAGGGAGUAUUUU